GCCCGGUUAGCUCAGUUGGUAGAGCAUCAGACGUUUAAUCUGAGGGCCAUGGGUUCGAGUCCCAUAUCGGGCU
rnacentral:tRNA from 1 species